rfam:Eremococcus coleocola ACS-139-V-Col8 contig00010, whole genome shotgun sequence.
CCCCCGGCUUCAUUCGAAGCCACCACCUUAUCUGCUAAGGCUAGAAU